rnacentral:sRNA from 1 species
UGAGGUGGACAGGAAGGGACCUCGCGAGCAGACGCGCGCCCGCGACAGCAACCCCGCCCCGGCCUGUCGGGAGCGGUGGGGCAGAGGCUGCGGAGCCCCAGGAGGAUCUGCCUCCGCUUUCACAGUCCUCCAGAUUUUUACAAGAGCAGCAGAAAAUGAAUAAAUCCCUGAUGGAGUCUCACUCUGUUGCCCAGGCUGGAGUGCAGUGGCGCUAUCCCUGAUUCAAGCGAUUCUCCUGCCUUAGCCCCCGAGUAGCUGCGAUUACAGGCACCUGCCACCACACCCAGCUCAUUUUUGUAUUUUUUUUAGUAGAGACGGGGUU